GUCUACGGCCAUACCACCCUGAAUGCACCCAAUCACGUAUGAUCUUGGAAGCUAAGCAGGGUCGGCCCUGGUUAGCAUUUGGAUGGGCGACCACCUGGGAGUACCAGGUGCUUUAGGCU